rnacentral:rRNA from 1 species
CCACGUGGAUAACUGUGGUAAUUCUAGAGCUAAUACAUGCAAGGAAACCCGGAGCGCUUCUCGCGGUACCGGGUGCUCUUAUUAGAUCAAGCCAGCCGGGUCGAAUGGCCCGUUCAAACUGGUGACUCUGGAUAACACCUGGCGGAUCGCACGGCCUUAGAGCCGGCGACAAUUUCUUCAAAUGUCUGACUUAUCAAUUGUCGACGGGCGGUGACCUGCCUCCCGUGAUGACGACGGGUAACGGGGAAUCAGGGUUCGAUUCCGGAGAGGGAGCCUGAGAAACGGCUACCACAUCCAAGGAAGGCAGCAGGCGCGCAAAUUACCCACUCCCGACACGGGGAGGUAGUGACGAAAAAUAACGAUGCGGGACUCUUUGGAGGCCCCGUAAUCGGAAUGAGUGCACUCUAAACACGUGCACGAGGAUCUAUUGGAGGGCAAGUCUGGUGCCAGCAGCCGCGGUAAUUCCAGCUCCAAUAGCGUAUACUAAAGUUGCUGCGGUUAAAACGCUCGUAGUUGGAUCUCGGGCAAGGGACGGUUGGUGUCGGCCUAUGUUGCCGGUCACUGCCGAAAUUCAAUCCCUGCCGCUACUUGCCGGUUACUCCGCGGGUGCUCUUAACCGAGUUUGCCUGUGGCGGCCGGCCACGUUUACUUUGAAAAAAUUGGAGUGCUCAAAGCAGGCAAGUAACCUGCCACGAACGAAUGGUGCAUGGAAUAAUGAAAUAGGACCUCGGUUCUGUUUUGCUGGUUUCUGAACCCCGAGGUAAUGAUUAAGAGGGACAGACGGGGGCAUUCGUAUUGCGGCGGGAGAGGUGAAAUUCUUGGAUCGCCGCAAGACGAACAACUGCGAAAGCAUUUGCCAAGAAUGUUUUCAUUAAUCAAGAACGAUAGUCAGAGGUUCGAAGACGAUCAGAUACCGUCGUAGUUCUGACCGUAAACGAUGCCAACCGGCGAUGCGCCAACGUCGUAUCAGGACUCGGCGCGCAGCCCCCGCGGGAAACCUAUUGAGUCGAUGGGUUCCGGGGGAAGUAUGGUUGCAAAGCUGAAACUUAAAGGAAUUGACGGAAGGGCACCACCAGGAGUGGAGCCUGCGGCUUAAUUUGACUCAACACGGGAAACCUCACUAGGCCCCGGACACUGGAAGGAUUGACAGAUUGAAAGCUCUUUCUCGAUUCGGUGGAUGGUGGUGCAUGGCCGUUCUUAGUUGGUGGAGCGAUUUGUCUGGUUAAUUCCGAUAACGAACGAGACUCUGGCCUGCUAAAUAGUUCGCUCGUCAGCCGGCGAACGCGGCGUUGCCUACCCACGAAGGCGGUCGCUCCUCCGUUCGCGCGGCGGUUGCGGUCCGACCCGAGUGGCGGCACGUCGAAUGAACUUCUUAGAGGGACCAGUGGCUUUCAGCCACGCGAGAUUGAGCAAUAACAGGUCUGUGAUGCCCUUAGAUGUCCUAGGCCGCACGCGCGCUACAUUGAAGCAGGCAGCGAGUGUUUACCUCCCGGUCCGAAAGGAUUGGGUAACCCGUUGAACCUGGUUCGUGACAGGGACUGGGCAUUGCAAUUAUUGCCCACGAACGAGGAAUUCCCAGUAAGCGCGAGUCAUCAGCUCGCGUUGAUUACGUCCCUGCCCUUUGUACACACCGCCCGUCGCUACUACC